rnacentral:lncRNA from 1 species
UUAUUUAUCAUUAUAUUAUUUGAGCGAUUUUGUGCACUUGCGAAAUAGGCUAUCAAGUUUUUAGCACCGUUGCCGGGGACUGGUGCUUUAAUAUCAAGAAUAGUUGAUUUUACUAGUAAUCUAGAUAUUUUAUUUCUUAGAUAUUUAAAAAAAAAUCACUGACAUUUCAUAACGCUUAACUAAUAUAGUAUAACCAAAAAUAUUAAAAAAAAAAUUCAAACUUGAUUGGACAUCUUGUUUCUUUGCAUUGCAUCUCCAUAAUUAACUUUAAGGGCACUUAACCCAUUAAUCAGAUAAGGUGGGGAUUUGAUCACCCUUUCUUAGCCCAAAAACUACAUCCUUCAUCUUGCAUAACCUAGACCUUAAUCUAAAAUCAAUUAAAUAUUGGCCCUAGGAUAUUCGAGCUCAAUAGGACACGAAAGCCCUAAAGUUAGAUCGGAUUCGAAUUGAUUAAUUACUCGGUGUCUAAGGCAAGUGGUUUAAGAAGGUGGUUUUCAAUUGGUUCUGUUGUCUGACCUGGCCAACUCAGUUGGUGUCUAA